AUUGAACGCUGGCGGCAGGCCUAACACAUGCAAGUCGAGAGAGCGGCGGACGGGUGAGUAAUGGAUGGGGACUGCCCGAUAGAGGGGGAUAACUACUGGAAACGGUAGCUAAUACCGCAUACUAUCGGAUAACCCAUAUGGGAUUAGCUAGUAGGUGAGGUAAUGGGCCACCUAGGCGACGAUCCCUAGCUGGUCUGAGAGGAUGAUCAGCCACACUGGUACUGAUACAUGUCCCAGACUCUUACGGAGGCAGCAGUGGGGAAUAUUGCACAUUGGGCGCAAGCCUGAUGCAGCCAUGCCGCGUGUAUGAAGAAUGCCCUAGGGUUGUAAAUUACUUUCAGUCUGGAGGCGUUACCGACAGAAGAAGCACCGGCUAACUCCGUGCCAGCAGCCGCGGUAAUAC
rnacentral:rRNA from 1 species